rnacentral:rRNA from 1 species
AGAGUUUGAUCCUGGCUCAGAAUGAACGCUGGCGGCGUGCCUAACACAUGCAAGUCGGAUGUGCCGCAAGGUGCAUGGCAGACGGGUGAGUAACGCGUAGGGAAUCUACCUUUUUGUGGGGAAUAACGCUCCGAAAGGAGUGGUAAUACCGCAUGAGACCGUGGCCUGGGAUGGUUACGGUGAAACCUGGGGACCGCAAGGCCUGGGGCAAAGAGAGGAUCCUGCGUCUGAUUAGCUAGUUGGCGGGGUAAUGGCCCACCAAGGCGACGAUCAGUAGCCGGCCUGAGAGGGUGAUCGGCCACACUGGAACUGAGACACGGUCCAGACUCCUACGGGAGGCAGCAGUGGGGAAUUUUGCGCAAUGGACGAAAGUCUGACGCAGCAACGCCGCGUGGGUGAUGAAGGUCUUCGGACUGUAAAACCCUGUCGUCAGGGACGAAGGUUGAGGGGUUAAUAACCCUUCAGCUUGACGGUACCUGGAGAGGAAGCCCCGGCUAACUCUGUGCCAGCAGCCGCGGUAAUACAGAGGGGGCAAGCGUUAUUCGGAAUUAUUGGGCGUAAAGGGCGCGUAGGCGGUUUUUUAAGUCAGAUGUGAAAGCUCAGGGCUUAACCCUGAAAGUGCAUUUGAAACUGCUAGGCUUGAGUCCCGGAGAGGGAGGUGGAAUUCCCAGUGUAGAGGUGAAAUUCGUAGAUAUUGGGAGGAACACCGGUGGCGAAGGCGACCUCCUGGACGGUGACUGACGCUGAGACGCGAAAGCGUGGGUAGCAAACAGGAUUAGAUACCCUGGUAGUCC